UGAGGAAUAUUGGUCAAUGGACGAGAGUCUGAACCAGCCAAGUAGCGUGCAGGAUGACGGCCCUAUGGGUUGUAAACUGCUUUUGUUUGGGAAUAAUCGACAUUACGUGUAAUGUUUUGCAUGUACCAUUCGAAUAAGGACCGGCUAAUUCCGUGCCAGCAGCCGCGGUAAUACGGAAGGUCCAGGCGUUAUCCGGAUUUAUUGGGUUUAAAGGGAGUGUAGGCGGUUGGUUAAGCGUGUUGUGAAAUGUAGAUGCUCAACAUCUGACUUGCAGCGCGAACUGGCUGACUUGAGUACAGACAACGUAGGCGGAAUUCAUGGUGUAGCGGUGAAAUGCUUAGAUAUCAUGAAGAACUCCGAUUGCGAAGGCAGCUUACGGGAGCGCAACUGACGCUGAAGCUCGAAGGUGCGGGUAUCGAACAGG
rnacentral:rRNA from 1 species